UACGUAGGGGGCAAGCGUUGUCCGGAAUCAUUGGGCGUAAAGAGCGUGUAGGCGGCCCGAUAAGUCCGCCGUGAAAGUCCAGGGCUCAACCCUGGAAUGCCGGUGGAAACUGUCGGGCUGGAGUCCGGAAGAGGCGAGUGGAAUUCCUGGUGUAGCGGUGAAAUGCGCAGAUAUCAGGAGGAACACCAAUGGCGAAGGCAGCUCGCUGGGGACGGUACUGACGCUGAGACGCGAAAGCGUGGGGAGCAAACAGG
rnacentral:rRNA from 1 species